ensembl:misc_RNA 7SK 7SK RNA
GGAUGUGAGGGAAAUUGGCUGCAACAUCUGUCACCCCAUUGAUUGCCGAGGUUGAUUAGGCUGAUCUGGCUGGCUAGGUGAAUGUCCCCUUCCUCCCUCACAGCUCCAUGUAUGUCUCCUUCCUUAAGCUGCACACUCAAAGAGGACAACCUUCUCUGAAGUCUUUGGUCAAGGCUGUAUGAGUAUAUCCCUAUUAGAGCCUCCAAACAAACUCUUAAAGUCCAAAGGCCUGAAUUUCUCUGAAAGACAACUACUUUAUUGUUUCACUGAUAUGAGAUAUGUAAAUCAUUAAAA